rnacentral:rRNA from 1 species
GAUGAACGCUGGCGGCGUGCCUAAUACAUGCAAGUCGAGCGAACGGACGAGAAGCUUGCUUCUCUGAUGUUAGCGGCGGACGGGUGAGUCACACGUGGAUAACCUAUCUAUAAGACUGGGAUAACUUCGGGAAACCGGAGCUAAUAUCGGAUAAUAUUUUGAACCGCAUGGUUCAACAGUGAAAGACGGUCUUGCUGUCACUUAUAGAUGGACCCGCGCUGCAUUAGCUAGUUGGUAAGGUAACGGCUUACCAAGGCAACGAUGCAUAGCCGACCUGAGAGGGUGAUCGGCCACACUGGAACUGAGACACGGUCCAGACCCCUACGGGAGGCAGCAGUAGGAAAUCUGCCGCAAUGGGCGAAAGCCUGACGGAGCAACGCCGCGUGGGUGAUGAAGGUCUUCGGAUCGUAAAACUCUGUUAUUAGGGAAGAACUUAUGUGUAAGUAACUGUGCACAUCUUGACGGUACCUAAGCAGAAAGCCACGGCUAACUACGU